rnacentral:siRNA from 1 species
UAUAUCACAUUUUCGGUGGCA